UUAGGAAUUGCAGGGCUAGUCUCCUUUGGCAGAAAGAGUGAUGCAUGCAUGCAUACAUGUAUAUUUGCAAUGCACGUAACAUUAUCUGUUUUUGCCAAGGGAGACUUGCCCUGUGAUUUCCCC
rfam:Spinacia oleracea cultivar SynViroflay scaffold14854.con0001.1, whole genome shotgun sequence.